UACGGAGGGGGCAAGCGUUAUUCGGAAUCAUUGGGCGUAAAGGGCGCGUAGGCGGCUUGGCAAGUCAAAGGUGAAAUCCCUCGGCCUAACCGAGGAACUGCCUUUGAUACUGCUUGGCUUGAGGCCGGGAGAGGGUAGCGGAAUUCCCAGUGUAGCGGUGAAAUGCGUAGAUAUUGGGAGGAACACCAAUGGCGAAGGCAGCUUGCUGGGACGGUACUGACGCUGAGACGCGAAAGCGUGGGGAGCAAACAGG
rnacentral:rRNA from 1 species